GCUGGGCAUGGUGGCCCAUGGCUGUAGUGCCAGCUACUCAGGAGGCUGAGUCAGGAGAUCACAUGAGGCCAGGAGCUCUGGCCUGCACGGAGCGAUGCCGAUUAGGUGUCUGCACUAAGUUCAACAUCAGUAUGGUAAGCUCCCAGGAGUGGGGGACCACCAGGUUCCCUAAGGAGGGGUGAACAGGCCCAGGUCAGAAAUAGAGGAGGUCAAAACUCCCAUGCUGAUCAAGAUACAGGCAUAAGCAGGAAUUUUAUUACAAUUCU
rnacentral:SRP_RNA from 1 species